GCUGGCGGCACGCCUAACACAUGCAAGUCGAACGAAGUAGCAAUACUUAGUGGCAGACGGGUGAGUAACAUGUAGGUAUCUGCCCUUUGGCCUGGAAUAACACGAGGAAACUUGUGCUAAUACCGGAUAAGUCUUUACGGAGAAAGCUUUAUGCACCAUUGGAUGAGCCUGCACUUGAUUAGUUUGUUGGUGGGGUAAUGGCCUACCAAGACUGUGAUCAAUAGCUGAUUUGAGAGGAUGAUCAGCCACAUUGGGACUGAGACACGGCCCAAACUCCUACGGGAGGCAGCAGUGGGGAAUCUUGCACAAUGGAGGAAACUCUGAUGCAGCGAUGCCGCGUGAGUGAAGAAGGCCCUUGGGUUGUAAAGCUCUUUCGUCGGGGAAGAAAAUGACUGUACCCGAAUAAGAAGGUCCGGCUAACUUCGUGCCAGCAGCCGCGGUAAUACGAAGGGACCUAGCGUAGUUCGGAAUUACUGGGCUUAAAGAGUUCGUAGGUGGUUGAAAAAGUUAGUGGUGAAAUCCCAGAGCUUAACUCUGGAACUGCCAUUAAAACUUUUCAGCUAGAGUAUGAUAGAGGAAAGCAGAAUUUCUAGUGUAGAGGUGAAAUUCGUAGAUAUUAGAAAGAAUACCAAUUGCGAAGGCAGCUUUCUGGAUCAUUACUGACACUGAGGAACGAAAGCAUGGGUAGCGAAGAGGAUUAGAUACCCUCGUAGUCCAUGCCGUAA
rnacentral:rRNA from 1 species